UACGUAGGGUCCGAGCGUUGUCCGGAAUUAUUGGGCGUAAAGAGCGUGUAGGCGGUCCGGUAAGUCAGCUGUGAAAGUCAAGGGCUCAACCCUUGAAAGCCGGUUGAUACUGUCGGGCUAGAGUCCGGAAGAGGCGAGUGGAAUUCCCGGUGUAGCGGUGAAAUGCGUAGAUAUUGGGAGGAACACCAGUGGCGAAGGCGGCUCACUGGACCGGUACUGACGCUGAGGCGCGAAAGCGUGGGAGCAAACAGG
rnacentral:rRNA from 1 species